rnacentral:tRNA from 1 species
GGUCCCAUGGUGUAAUGGUUAGCACUUUGGACUUUGAAUCCAGUGAUCCGAGUUCAAAUCUCGGUGGGACCU